GUUUAGGGAGGAUUUGCCCCGCUUGCCUUACCCCAACUUUUACUACGCGCUAGAAGAUCUUUUGGAGUCAUACGCGCCAUCAUUGACCUACUCUGUGCACCGCUCGUCGAUCAUAAUAGGCGCGUCGUCGAGAAGCGUGUACAACGCGCUACUUACAUUAGCAGUGUACGCAUUGAUAUGUCGAUACGAGGGUUUACCGUUUCGAUAUCCAGGUAGCCGGUACACAUGGGAACAACAUAAUAGUGAAAUAGUAACAAAAGUAGUGAGAAAACAACAAAAAAACAGCAAAACAACAAAAAGGACAAUUUUUUUUAGCAAAUUUGGGUCAGGCUGAACUCGGGUCCAAAAAAAUAUUACUUGAAGCCUGGCCCGUUUUCUAAACAUGCCUCUCUCUUUUUUUUGUCUAAGUUUAUUUUUUAGGUCUAUAUUUUUACCCAAAUCCUCUCACAUUUCGUGUGGGCCUUCGGGCCGAGCCGGGUGACCCGACCCAUAGAUAAGUUUAGUUGAAAUGGGUAAAACCAAAAUUUUGAGAUAUCCAAAUCACUUAGGUUCAAAUCCUACUAUGUGAUUAACUUCUAAAUUUAUUUUGGGAAAAAAACAAAAACCUCAUAGAUAUAUUUAUUACUUUAUAAAAAAUAAAUAUUUUAAUAUUUUUUAAUUAAACUAGUGUCCAAUUAACUCAUGACACAAACUCAAUAAAAAUUUCCCGCUUAUAUUUUUGAUCAUUGCAUUGCAUGAGGAAGAUGAUAUAUCAUUUAAAUAUUAAACGAUAAUUAUUGUAAAUAAAUUGGAGAAGAUAUAAAUCUGAAAUGUGACAAAUACCUUACACAGAGCCCAGUCUGCGGAAUCAAAGAAAGCACGUUCAUGGCCCUACAUAUAUUUAUUUUAAUUUAAACCUUCAAAAACAAAUAUUAUUUAUUUAUUUAAAGGCGGCUUCUUUGGCACCAGGCCUCCAUAUUUCUUGGCCGUUGCUUUUCCCUGUAAUAUAAAUCAGCAUUCAACUAUUUUUUUGAAUUCUAAAAAACAAAUGUCACGAUCAACUUUCAAACUGUAGCUUCUUUAUUUUGGCCAAACUUGACUGUGGGGUUUCAACUUUUUAUUUAUUUUCUAUAUUAUUCAAAAUUAAAAUUACAUAUUAACACUUAUUUAUUUGUAUGAUUAAAUAAUAAUGUGUGACAAAAUGGACCGACCUUAAUUGAGACAUACGGAUGAAGAAUUAGACCAAAGCUGGAUUAAUCCACAAGAUGAGAGAGAUACAAAUGACGGCCAUUAAACUCAAAAUUUUAAAAUCUAAAACCUCAGUCUUUGUCGACUAUAUCAAGUUGUUAGUAACAAAAGAAAUAAAGUAUUUGGAUAUAUAUAUAUAUAUAUCAAAAAGAUAUUAUUUUUAUUAAUAUGAUAAAACUCAAAAUUUUACUUUUUAUUAGAUAUUUAAAUAGCUAUGAAUAUAUUUAGCUUUUAAGGUUUAUAUUAAUUUGGUUCUUAUUUUUUUAGUUAAAUUUGACCACUAACUUUUCAAAAAGAAUCACACAACACUUUCAAUGAAAAUGUUGACUAAAGCAUUAAUUUUUUAAUGAUAUUGGCGUGGCAACCUACAUGACAAUUCAUGUGUACUAUAUACUAAUAUGAUAUUAUUUGUCUUAUAUGUCAUGCCAACAAAUAAUUUAAAAAUAAAACAAUUAAAAAGUUCAUAAAAAGCAUCAAGUAUAAGUAGAUUCUUAUGUUUAAGAAUUUAAUAUUUUAAUCAAUAUUUUCGUUAAAAAAAUAAAUUAACUCUUUUUAAAAGGUUUAUGGUCAAAUUAAACUUCUUUUAUAAGGUUGAGGAUUAACUAAGUUCAACAAAAGAAUAAGAGUAAAAUUGACCAAAAAAAUUAAACAGAUUAAAUUUAUGAUUAUAGCUAUUUAAAACACUAUUUAUCAAUUAUAAUUAAAAAAAAAGGGUAAAAAAUAGGAAAGGAUGGCGUGAGAUUGGGUGACAGGUUAACUAGCACCAUAUAAACGUGCGGUUGUUGUAGUACGUAUAAUCACUGCCACCAUUUCCAGAAAAUAAUGUCUCAUAAUACACGUCAUCCCUUCGAACUGUCGUGUCAUGAUUAUAGCCGUUGAUUUGGCUGGCCCUAAAUGUAGUAGAUAUGAUUGCAAAUUGAAUUGCUUUGCGACCAUAAAUCAUACCAAACAAAAUCACAAAUAGCCGUUUUCAGAGUUUUCCCAAUUUCGGAUUUUAUUUUAAUUUAAAUAAAUUUAAAGGUUUUUUUUUUUUGUUGAAGUGGUUUCUUUAGAAGGGAAAUUUUAAGGUAGCUGUUACAGUUUUCUUUCAUAAUAAUAGGUGGCUAUAGUUAUAAUUUUGUUUGAAAAUAUUUUAUAAAAAAAAUUGCAAUAUAAUUUAUUAAUUGAUAAAUAUGAAUUCUAAUUAAAGUGAAUCGAUUUAGCGAUAGUAAAAAUAUUAAUUAAGGGUUUUUAUAUAAUUAAAUAAUUUAUUACCUAAUAAAAGAGAGUUUAUCUUAGGAUACACUCACACGUGGAACAUCAGAACCGUUGAUCCAUUCAUCAAUCUUAUUAAAAAAAAACAGUAUGGGACUCAGCUCUGUUCGUGAAAACAUGGAAUUUAAAUAUUUCUUAUUUGAAAACGUAGUAAUAAAAAUAAUACUUAGUCCCUGCCCGCCUUCACUGCAAGCGGCGUUCCGGCAGGGGGGGUCUUUGGAAGAAGAAAACAGUGUGUGGUAGUGAAUCGUACCUCGUGGUCGUCUUCAGCAUGUUUGAAGUCCGCCAUUUUAAAACCUGUUAAAACAAGAGAAACGCCAUUGAUUCUUAACUUAUUAAUAACGAUGAAGAAUAUUAUAUUCAUAUCAUGAGGAUGGAUUUAUGGCAUUACCUUACACAAGGGAAGGGAAAGAAGAAGAGCUAGAAAGGGAUGUGAGACAGGAACAAUAAUGAUAGGUCGUAAGAAGCAGGCAACUAUAUAUAAUGCAUUAUUGGUGGUGUUGCUUGUUGAAUUAAUGGUUUUUAGAAAACGAGUUAGAUUUUUUUUAAAGUGGUAUUCUUUUUUGGUGAAAUCAACGAUUUUACGUAAAAUAUUUUUUAUUAUUUGACAAACUUUCC
rnacentral:lncRNA from 1 species